UGCGUAGGCGGGGCAAUAAGUCAGUGGUGAAAUCCUGCGGCUUAACCGUAGAAUUGCCAUUGAUACUGUUGCCCUUGAGUAUAGUUGAAGUGGGCGGAAUAUGUAAUGUAGCGGUGAAAUGCAUAGAUAUUACAUAGAACACCAAUUGCGAAGGCAGCUCACUAAGCUAUCACUGACGCUGAGGCACGAAAGCGUGGGGAGCGAACAGGAUUAGAUACCCUGGUAGUCC
rnacentral:rRNA from 1 species